rnacentral:sRNA from 1 species
AGCUGAUCAUGCAUUUUUCUACAAGCCUGCCGGCACCAUUUAGGAUUUUGAAAAAUAAUCUAGAAAUGCUAUACCCUUUAUCAAAAUUAUUCUUUACUUUGCAAGAGCUUAACAGUUUUGGUUUUUUCUUAGCAAUUCUAUAAAAUUAACAUCUAUAAAAUGCAUCCCGGACCAGAUACAUACUGUAUUGAAAGCUUUCUUCAAGAAGAGAAUAUGAGAGUGUUCUUUCCAGCUUAUUUUCUUCCUUAGCAAAAGGAUUGUUUGAUUCUCAGAAGCAGAAGGACACAUUCAUUGUGGAGCAGCUCUGCUUAAGUUUGAACCAAGACUCUGAGGCUGAUAUGCAAUGUCACUUACAACAUUAAUCAGAUACUGCAUUUAAGGUGAGCUGUCCCUUGCCUUCUCCUUCCCCAGUGCUCGUGUGCUGCAUGCAGUGCGUAUCUUGCUUCUGCGAGCCUAAGAUGGCAGGCAGGAUUAGCCGUGCUUGUGCUGUGUGUGCAUGCUGUGUCUAGAAUUCAUUACACGUUGCCUAGUAUUUCAGAUGUGAGUAUGUAAAUGCUCUGUAUGGCAUAUCAUCUGGUAGCGAAGACUUGUUUUUGCCUCAUUACAGCCUUAGAUAUUUCAACAUCACCUUUCAUUUCCAAUUCAUUUGCUUCUGGAUGUUUGCUUUUCAUCACAUUCAAAAUAUGAUUUUACCUUUUUUUUUUUUAACAAAACCAAAACCCCCCACAAACCCUAAAAACAAAAACAACAACAACAAAACUCUGCUACCAGAUGGUGUCUCUCCUUUCUUCGUGCAUUUGCUGUCUUUUAAAUAAUGUAUGUUGUAUUGUUAAUUAAUGUGAAUAUCAAAUUAAACACUUGAAACUUACAUGUUUAUUAUGCAGGUAGGAGGCAAGGUGGAUUCUAUUUUUAACUCUUAUGCACUCCAUCAUGUGCAAGCAACUUGGGUUCUCAAAUUUGUAUAUUCAAUGCUGGUAUCAGUGGUUUGAUUUUCAGCAAAUGUGACAGUGGCCUUUGCAGUG